GGAAGAAGGGGACAAACUUUUCCUCCCUGCUCUGUAGUUUCGGAGGCAUCGCCCUGCGCCUUGUUAUUUCUGGGUUGCAUCAGCGCAGCUGAUUUCCAAUCCUUGGCUGUUGAUCGUUCCUAAGGAAUGCGCCUCUUAUCUUAGGCACGCAUCUCUUAACUUGUAGUGAAUCACUCCUGAGAGCAAAUAGGUGAACUCAUACACCCAGGAAGUGUGUGCCUGUGAUAUAUGUGUGUGUGUUUCCCUUAGUACCUUGCUACCAGGGGUUGUUGUUUUUUUGGUAGAUCUUUUUUUAACAGAACAGAGAAAUUCUAAUCCUUUUACUCUAGCGAACUUUUUUUUUUUUUGCAAGUGUCUACAGGGAGAACCUCAAACUUGUUCAGCGUCUUACGACUUUUGCCAGAGUGGUUCUGUUUUCGUUAGACUUAGUUUUUGUGGAUUGUGGUUGCCUGUAGCCACAUGUGGCACCUGUUCUGUGUCAGGGUUAGAGUCAGUAAAGGAGAAGUACUUCCCUUGCUUUCCAGUUACUCUUCUUUCCAUCUCUUUGCCUGGGGUAAGAGUACAUGAAUCUUACUUUUAAGCUGACUUGGGUUAAUUGAGUAAUGAUAUCCCCCAAGUUUUAAAUGUUUCAGUGCAGCCAGAUGAUCCCUAGACUUGCAGGUUUCUCAUGGAAAAGGGCGUCUCAAGCUGUCAGAGCAAAUUCAAGUCCAGUGGUCGGUGAUGCUCUCACAAUGCAGAGGAAAUCUGCUGUGAAUCUAGACUGCUUUAUGCAGAGAGUUAGCAUCAUCAGGAGAUGAUACUGAGAGCUUGAGAGAGGAUGUUCUCUUAUGGGAGACAUGUUUAAUAAUAAAACUAAUUUAGGACAAGGUAUCCAGUUAAGAUUGUGUAAAAACAAUCUUUCACUGUGUUCCUUUUGCAUUUUGAUAAAUAUAGUAAGUGCAAAUAAAACCUAUUUUGUUACUGUUUCUAAACUCUCCCAUCAAGAUUGCAUGGAUGGAUCUUCUUUGAAUUAGGAAGUUUUGCUGAGCUGCUCACAUCUCCCGCUUUUCAGUAGCAGAAAUUACAAUCUUUUCCCAGUGCUGCCCCAGUAUGAAUAAGGCACCUCAGUACUUCAGAAGUUGUUGUUUUUUUGUUGGAGAGGGGGUUGCAUUGUUAAAGUGGACAAGUAAUUUUUCUUAGGUCUUCUAAACCUAUCUUGCUACUUCAAGUGAGUUUCUGGUCAUUUUAUUUUAUGUUAUCUUUGUGCUAUGCUGCUGAUUUGGCUGCUUGAAUUGAGAUUAGCACAUUGAUUUUUGUCGCAGGUCAUGUUUUUUUAUAGAUCUGUGGUGCCUGCCAAAGUCUGUUUUACUCUGUAUGUGAGAAUGGCCUCAGAAUAUAUGGUGCCAAAGUUAAAAACUGCUUGUUAAGUACCUUGAGUUCAGUAGACAGUUUGGCGUGUUAAUUUUGUGUGGGGUACUUCAAGCAAAACAAACAUUAAUGCGGUGGUGUGUGUGACAAUUAAUGCUGUUCCUGCUACUUAAUUUUCUUGGUGACAGUUAUUAACAGUUGUGUUAUCAAAACCUGCCACCUCUCUCCCAUCAUAUCAAAGAGAAAACUGCAGCCACAAGUAAAACUGGUCAACUGUUACAACAGGCAGAAAGCUUUCCCUCCCAAUAUGUCUCUUCUUAAGGGUGAUUGUCGCAUCUUAGAAUAAAAGUUUAAAAAUGAAGUGUAUUUGUUGAAGAUGGUGAAAUAAUAAACCAAAUUCGCCUACUGUAGUUGUGAAACGGAAAUGUUUGCUGCUUUGAAUUUGACCAAAUGACUUGCACAUGUUGCUCUUUUGCGAAAAUCAAAGCAUGCUAUUAAAUGUUUGCUUCUCUGCCUGUUAUGGUAUUAAUUAAAGAUGUGAUGUAGGUACAAUACUUCACUAUAAAUAAUCCAUGGAACAUUGGGGUCAAAACUAGAGCGUUUAAACCAGUGAACAUGGAUAACGCCCAUUUAAAUGAUAACUUUUGUGCCAAUAAAAUGGUGUGUAAGAGAGGAGAUAAAAAAAUAGCAGAGGAGUAAUGAGUUAUAGAACUUGGUAAAGGUUGAUGUCGGAAUAAAUUCCUGAAACUAAGGGCUUAGAACACUGUACUAUUGAAAGUGUUUUAAACUAUAAGGCUCUUUCACAGUCACUAUAAGCUCAUAAUUAACGCAAUAUAAUUAGUUUCUUUUCUUUUCUGGAAUUGUUAAUAUAUCUGCAUGCUUUAUGUUCGCUGUUUGUUCUGCUGAACCUGAAAAACCUUGCUUCAUAAGAUAUUAAAAGUUAAGAGAACUUGCCAUGUAUUUUUAUAAUUCACAGUUAACAAGAAGAAGUACUGCACCCAUAAUGGUAUUAUUUUUUAAAAGAUGCCAUCACAGGUUACAAGAAUGAGUUUUUAAAUUAAUAAACUGGGCAACUCUUAAAAAUUGCAGAGUGAUAGAUGAUGGCUAUCACUUGACAAACAAAAUACUGUUUUUUAAUGUAUUGUACUUCAAAUUUGGAAAACCACAAAAACUUUUGAGAAGUAAUUCAAGUGCAAAAUAUUUCCGUAAAAGAACACUUAAUAUUUUGUGCGUAAUUUCUGAAGUUUCAUGUAUAUUCCCAAAAAGCUCAUUUAUUUAGAUUUUAUAUAAUCCAAGCAUCAUAUAUAGCAUCAGAGAAAAGACUUCAAAUUAAACAGAUGAACAGUAAAUGACUUAACCACUAAGUACUUUCAGUAAGAAGCCAUUUUGCUAUAUAUAUGGGCCUCAAUAUGGGGCAGAAGUUGAUACACUUAAGUUUUUAUAUGGUCAGCGUAUACAUAUGAAGGAUGGACAUAAUUUUUUCAGUAGUAUUUGGAUAUUUUAGUAAAACUCUUCAUCAUGAAAGAGAAGCAGAUCUUGGAAUAACUGUACCUAGUUUUCCUUUCUAAUGUAAGUUAAUUGAAUACAUACAAUUGUAACUAAUAUCAGUUAAUAGUAGCGGUUAAUCAGGACAGUAAUUGUAAGCCAUUUCUAAAACGGUUGGGUGAUUUUACUUUAGGAAGUAUUUGGCAAGUUGUCCUAAAAACUAUGAUGUACAUAGCUUUCUGACUAUAAAUGACUAUAUAUGGACGACAGACGUUAUAGCUAUAUUUAUGGCUAAAACAUGUACAUUGAAGAAUUGUAUGCAGAACAGCUGAAUGCUGUUUGGAACCCUUGUACAAUGAUUGGGCAGCUUUGAGAGGUGAAGUAUAGGCUUCUGAAGCAAAUGAGUAUUAUGUUUCCCGAAAAUUGCAUAAAGAAAUAAUUUUCUGUUUUAGGGCUUUAUCCUUCAAAUACUUAGUGUGUCAAGCAGACAUUGCAGAUGGUUUACGAUCCCUAGUGCUGUGUUUUGCACAACUGUUUCCCCAUUUGCAAUAUCUAGAUUAUAUCAGGCUGCAUAAUGUACAAAAGCUAGUUAACACAGCUUGCUUAUAUAAGUAAUUACCUUAAAGUCAAACAUGCAUUAAACCUAGGAAUAUUUGUAUACCUAUAAAUAAAAACUAAUUAUAUUUCCACACUGGUGCAUGUGCAAGCAUGAGUAAAAAAAGUACACUUUUAAUUAUGCAUUUUGAGAAAUAUAAUAUUUUGCCAAAUGGCGCUUAUCUAAUGGACAGUGCAGUCCUAUGCAUGUUUACACAGAAGUAAAUCCAACUGUAUUCAGUAGAGUAUAAUGUGUGUAUGAUUAUAGUCUUGGGCUGCAAUCCCAUGCACACUUGGAAGUAAGUUCUGUUAAACUUAAUGGGGUUUACUUCUGAGUUAGACAGUUAUAAAAUCAAAUCAUCAGAUACACUAAGACUGGUUGCCACAAAUAUUGCUUUAUCAGAGUUGUUGUGAAGGAGACUGCAUAAGUGUAAAAUUCGCCAUGUAUCGUCUUCAAAACACUGUAGGUUUUGUUGCAAUGAAGAGGGCUUGAUCUGACUUGCAAACAUCUGAUACGAGUUUUUUCCUGAUACAAGUCUCACUGAAAUUAAUGAAUUUAAGUGCAUUCUUAAGUUGAACCUUGCACUUAAUUCCUUCACUGUGUAACUCAGGCCUUAAAGUAGGUUAGCUUUCAGAGAUGCUAUUGCUGUUGAAAGCUUUCAGUUUUAACUGAAUUUGGCAGUUUCUCAUAUUCAGCCCAGUGGUUUGCAGAGGGGGUCUACUUUAUUUUAUUCUUGACGCUUGUAGUUUUAUUUCCAAAUCCUACAUCAUUUCUCUGUGUACUAUUAAUACUAUUGUAUGGGGGGGAAAUGUCUUUGUGGGUAAAUGGGAAGACCUAACUUUGUGUGGUAUGAACCUAUGAAUAUUUCCUCUAAAGUCCCACUAUCUUAAGUGUUGUAGGGAUUGCAGUCUCUAUUUGAAGUAGAUAUAUACGGUUGAAGUGUUAGUUUCUUAAGAAAGUCUAUUUAUGUAUAAGGAAUAUUAAUAUUUCAAAUGCUAAUUUUAUUGGCAGCUACAAUCUGGAGGGACUGCUAUCUCAAAGUCAGCGAAUUUCUUGUGAUUAAAAGUGCAAAGAAAAAGCAUUCAGUAGGUCGUUGAAUGCGGUUUACUUGACUGUGUUACCCUGAAAAUUGUGGCCCUGAAAGGCCUUUGGUAUUUUAAAAUGGACUCCCCAUACAGUUCAGCGUCUCACUUGGAAACCUAUCCAGUGAGCCAUAGCUAUAUGCGCCUUCCUUUUUAAAGGAGAUGGUACCGACUUGAGGGAUGAAAAAAUAUCACCUGCCUAAUUAUUUUCCCAUUUUAUUCUUUUGCAAGGAAGCAAGCAAAUUCUUAAUGGUGAUAUGUCAUUGUGCUGGACACAACAGCCUAAUCUAAUGUGAGGGGCAGACAGGCAAAUAUGUUCCUUUCUGUCCUUUCCCUCAAUAUUCCAGAUUAUGCUGGGAUGAGAAAACAAAUGAAUGCAGUGAGUCCAUCAGGAAUCCUGACCUUUUUGCUUUUGAUGACUUAAAGAUGAGACAUGGUUACAUACAAGGACACUGUUGUAAGGGGAAAUGUAAUGUUAGAGAGAUACUGAACUGAAAAAUAAAAUAAGCAAUAAUGCUUCUAAUAUAAAUUGACAAAGUAUUCUCGUUUCUUAAGACCCAAACCUUUUAUAGGAAUAUUUGUUAACUUGGAUUUCAGGUAUGCUUUUUGUUUGUUUACAAACUGAAUAGGCACAGUUCAACAAAAGUUAAAUACUGAACAUCACAUUCCCAUUCUUGUCUACCCCAAAGUAAGCCCCAUUGAGUUCAAUGAAGCUUACUCAUUGUGAGUAUAAGAUUGCAGCCUAAAUCCCAGUGAUUUUCAUAGCUCUGUUUCAGUAGAAAAGCUAGUAUUUGAAUAUUUACCAUUGUAAUCAACAGGACUUGAGUGCUUCGCCUUGGCUGCAUCAUGACUUUUAUUUAUUGACUGGGAUCCUAAAUUGACAGCUGUUCUCUCAUUAUUUUGUAUCUUGCUGUCAUCAGUAAGUGUCUAAUGUUUAUGAAACUAUGGGCCUCUGUUGGUUGUUAAAAUAUGACUCAAUAUAAAAUGCAUUACAUUGCUAAAGUAUUGGAACUUUUAUCAUUAUUAUUAGUAGUAUUAGUAUUGUAAAACCUAUACAAGAAUAGAUUGUGGGGCGAUUCUCUUAUUACUAGGCGGGAACAGUACUUAGAGAUACUUAUGACUAUCCAAGAUGAUAAAUUCAGCUCAUAUUACUACUUAUUUUUAUUAGAUUGUAUUAAAAUGCCAAAUAAACAGUUCCUUAUAUGUUAGCUAUUCAACAUAUAUUUAUUCAACUUCUGGAAUUGUUUUAACCUAAUUUUUCAGAGGUUGACAGUGAUGUAUUUACUUUUGAGAACAAUUUCCUUUUGUAUACAUUUCUCUUCCAUUUCUGUUUAAAUGUGUAGUCAUUGAGAAAUUAGAUGCUGAGUUUAAAAGAGAAAUAUUUUUAAAACCACUUUCUAGUGAUAUUACAACUGUUGAAAUAUAACUCGAGUGUAAUACCCAUCAUCAUACACAAAAAUAGUAUUUCACAUUGUUCAUCUUCCAACAUCUGAAUAGCACUGGAUGAGCUUUGUAUACAUUGUAAUAGAAUCAACUAGAGAAUAAGUAAGUACUCAUACUUUCGUCCCCUCAAAAGCAAAAAAAUGAGAACUAAUGUGUGAUGUUCAAAUAAGUCAUACUCGGAAUAGAUAAACUGAAAUCGAUUGAUUUUGGUGGGUUUACUCUGAGUAUGACCUACUUGAAAAUAAAAUAAAUACCAUUCUCCUUUUACAGUGACUAUUACAGCACUAAUCAUAAAGACACAUUACAAUGUCUUCUUUCUGUGUUGCCAAAGAGCAUCAUUGAUAUAGUUGACGGUUGACUGAUGGAAAUGUACUGUCAAAUUCUUAUUUGUCAUUCCAGCGGAAAAUAAAAUUUAAGUCUAAUUUUUGUUCUUAAACCUUACUAAAAGGUCAGAGUCUAAAUUUGAAGUAGAAACCUGCUGGUGUUUUAUCUUCUGACUGAAGAGCCUUUGUCUUCCAUAAGUUAUUGGGGGGGAAUCCAGUAUCUUUCUGAAAAAUGCAGUGAAUGAAAGAAGUGUUCAGGAAUAAAUAACUGUACAACAAUUAUUAAAACUACACCAAUAAGUGGAGAUCCUGUGGGUGACUUGUAUGUACCCAGUUCAAUUGCUGCCUAUAUCGAUUCCUGAGUUAAAAGCAUACAUUGAUUGGGGAAUUAAGUGCAAGAGUUGAUGAAAGAGAAAAUACUGCUAGGGUGUACCUGCAGCUGCCCCUCCCCAACUUCACUUUGACUUGCUCUUGCAUGUAAUCCCCAAACCUCUUUUU